rnacentral:rRNA from 1 species
UACGGAGGGUGCGAGCGUUGUCCGGAAUCACUGGGCGUAAAGGCGCGUAGGCGGCCUGUUAAGUCGAACGUGAAAUCCCCGGGCUCAACCCGGGAACUGCGUCCGAUACUGGCAGGCUUGAAUCCGGGAGAGGGAUGCGGAAUUCCAGGUGUAGCGGUGAAAUGCGUAGAUAUCUGGAGGAACACCGGUGGCGAAGGCGGCAUCCUGGACCGGUAUUGACGCUGAGGCGCGAAAGCCAGGGGAGCAAACGGG